CGACUUUUUAAUAGAGACAGAAGUGCCCUCCAUAGCAGAGCAGGGGCCCGCCUUCAGGUGUUUGGGGGCGUUGUUGAGGGUGUGGGUCUCCGCGGUCGGGGAUGAACCGCCCUGGGGUGGAAGGAGACAAAAGGAUUCGGAUCCAAGUUGCUUCGUUCUUGCCUUGGGAGUCGGCACGGCCGCUGUCUCGUAGCUCUUCAUGCCGGUGGCCCAGCUCAUAUCAGGUGCGUGAAGAGGGCAGGUUCUGAGGAUGUGUGUCCUGAUGGCUGCUGAAGCUUCUACUCCAGGUUCAAGGUCAGCAGUUCUCAGGAGACCCCAACACUUCACACCCCUGGUGGAAAUUGAUGCCUGGCUCAAAGAGAGACAUAGCAUGAGCAGAAGAAGAGCAGAGAGAGAGAGAGACACAGAAUCCAAAACAGGCUCCAGGCUCUGAGCUGUCAGCACAGAGCCCGAUGCGGGACUCGAACUCACGGACCGUGAGAUCGUGACCUGAGCUGAAGUCAGACGCUUAACCGACUGAGCCACCCAGGCGCCCCCUCCCCUGUUCAUUUGUAAAAGGUGCCAUAUUAUACACCAGUGUUGUGCAAUAAAAAUUUCUGCAGAAAUGAAAAUAUUCUGUAUGUGUGCUAUCCAACUUGGUAGCCGCUAGCUGCAUGUGGGUGUACAGUGUCUAAAAUGUGGUUAUUGCAACUAAGGAACUGAUUUUUUUAAUUACACUUAUUGUAACUAAUUUAAAUUUAAAUAGACCUGUGUGGCUAUGAUUACUGUAUUGGACAGAAACAGCUCUAAACAUUUUUCUGCACCUUGCCUUUUUCACCAAACAAUAUAUCCAUAGCAGUACAGAGAGGGAGUCCUCAUUGCUUUUCUUUCUUUUUCUUUUUUCUUUUCUCAUUGCUUUUCUAGCUGCAUAGUAUGCCAGGAUGUAGAUGUGCCAUAGCUUAUUCAUACAACUCACUAUUGGUGAACAGCUGUUUGUUUCUAGUUUUCUGCUGUUAUGAAUUUUUCUUUAAGGGAUAAACUUGUACGUAUGCCUUUUCA